rnacentral:rRNA from 1 species
GACAGAGGCCUCGAGCGUUAGGCGGAAUCACUGGGCUUAAAGCGCGUGUAGGCGGAUCGUUAAGUGCCUUGUGAAAUCCCGCGGCUCAACCGCGGAACCGCUGGGCAUACUGGCGAUCUUGGGCCACUCAGGGGUCACUGGAACAAGCGGUGGAGCGGUGAAAUGCGUAGAUAUCGCUUGGAACACCGAAGGUGAAGACGGGUAGCUGGGCCGACACUGACGCUGAGGCGCGAAAGCCAGGGGAGCGAACGGG